AUGUCGGUGGCCGUGUGCCGUGGCCCGGCCGUGCCGGCGUUCGAGACCCCCGCCUGGCUGCGCCCGGCUAAGCCGCACAAGCCGGAGGUGGUGGUGGCCGACGACCGGCCCGCUCAGGUCGACAUAUGGAAUGCCAUCCAGGCCGGCGUGGACAGCAAGGUGGCCGCCGCCAAGAAGCCGUACGUCAGCCCGCGCGUGCGACGGUCGAUGAGCCAGAAGAGCCUCGAGGUCUGCACCGAGAGCCUCGGCUGCGAAACCGGCUCCGGCGACUUCGACAUGUCCUGCCUCUUUGGCUCGCCGCUGCCGACGGCGCCCGUCGAGGCAGAGGAGUCCUUCUGGGAGAGCAGUGCCGCACAAGAAAGCUACCCGGCCGACGACCUCGUGGCGGUGAACUACCACUCCUCGGGCGGGAGACGGUCGCCGCGCCGCUCGUUCCCGCCGCCGCUGCCAUCCAUGUCGAGCCGCGAUGGGCCGUGUCUGAAGAUGUGCUCGCGCCGCCAGGACGGCCGCCUCGUCGUCGAGGCGGUGGUGGUGAGGCCGCGCGGGUACCUCCAGGCGAACCGCCAGGGCGGCCGCCUCUGCCUCUCCUUCAUCGAGUGCUCUGCUCGUGGCCAGAGCGCGGCGAGCAAGAGCGCCGCGCCGGCCGAGGCGUCCUACUUCCCGGUCGUGGAGGACAAGUGCGAGCCAGAGCAAGAGGUGGCCAUGCAGGUGGAGGAGGAGGAGGAAGACGAGGAGGAGGUGGAGGUCGUGGACAGAGGCACCAUGGUGGAGGUGAAGGUCAGCUCGCAGCCGCAGGCGCCCGCCGCCGCCAAGGUGCACCGGUCGACGCUCGUCAUCAACAAGUUCGUGGGCAGCACGCCCUUCACCUUCGAGCAGGCCCGGGGCCACGCCGACGCGCCGCACUCCGAGCCGUCCGCCCGCGAGGAAACCCCGACGCUGCGCCGGGUGCCCUCGUCCACGACGACGCUCGCGGCCGCGGUCGCGGUGGCGUCGACUGAGACCGGCGCGCCGCACACUCCCGUCGACGGCGAUGACAGUGACGAGGACGAGGACGAGUGCGGCGGACGGCACCACCCGUCGUCGGCCCUGGCCGCCGCCGACACGAAGCAGCAGCUGCUCCUGUUCACGUCGCGGCGGGGCGACAAGCACGACCUGCUGCAGAGCGUGCGCCGGUGCCGGCAGCUGCGGCAGAAGCCGCUCUUCAUCCUGGAGCAGUACUGCAUUGCCACCUCCUAA
rnacentral:rRNA from 1 species